UACGAAGGGGGCUAGCGUUGCUCGGAAUUACUGGGCGUAAAGGGCGCGUAGGCGGAUAGUUUAGUCAGAGGUGAAAGCCCAGGGCUCAACCUUGGAACUGCCUUUGAUACUGGCUAUCUUGAGUUCGGGAGAGGUGAGUGGAAUGCCGAGUGUAGAGGUGAAAUUCGUAGAUAUUCGGCGGAACACCAGUGGCGAAGGCGGCAGUCCUGGCCCUGUCCUGACGCUCAGGGGCGAAAGCGUGGGGAGCAAACCGG
rnacentral:rRNA from 1 species